UGUACAAAGCAAGGCCACGCGGUCUAGUUGCCCUGCGACACCAACGUCCCUGGAAAGGAGAAAGAAUGGCGAAUCCACAGAAAACUAGAACACUCUUUAAACUUAGCCUCUCUCCUCGCCUUUCGGAGGCAUUUCCCCUCAGCUUAUAGGAUGCUGAAGGAGCAUGCUAGCUGCCAGAGUGACUAGUGAGACAUGCUAAUGCUGAAGCAAAAAACAAUGCUAUGAUGGUUUGUAUAUGCUGGGUCCAGGGAGUGGCACUAGUAGGAUGUGUAGCCUUGUUGGAGUAGGUGUGUCACUUUGAGCGUGGGCUUAAGACCUUCACCCUGGCUUCCUGGAAGUAAGUCUACCACCAGCAGCCUUCAGAUGAAGAUGUAGAACUCCAGCACCAUGCCUACCUGGACUUUCCCAUGCUCCCGCCUUGAUGAUGAUACUGAACCUUUGAACCUGUAAGCCAGCCCCAAUUAAAUGUUGUCCUUUAUAAAA